rnacentral:rRNA from 1 species
GACAGGGGGCUCGAGCGUUAAUCGGAAUAAUUGGGCUUAAAGGGUGCGUAGGCGGGUUGCUAAGUGUUCUGUGAAAUCCCCCGGCUCAACCGGGGAAUCGCAGGGCAUACUGGCAGCCUUGAGGCAUGUAGGGGCGGACGGAACUGUAGGUGGAGCGGUGAAAUGCGUAGAUAUCUACAGGAACGCCGAUGGUGAAGACGGUCCGCUGGGCAUGUCCUGACGCUGAGGCACGAAAGCGUGGGGAGCAAACAGG